rnacentral:rRNA from 1 species
ACGGCAGCACGGGGUGGUAACACUCUGGUGGCGAGUGGCGAACGGGUGAGUAACAUAUCGGAACGUAUCCGGAAAUGGGGGAUAACUAGUCGAAAGAUUAGCUAAUACCGCAUAUGCCCUGAGGGGGAAAGUGGGGGAUUCGCAAGGACCUCACGUUUUCGGAGCGGCCGAUAUCAGAUUAGCUAGUUGGUGGGGUAAAGGCCCACCAAGGCAUCGAUCUGUAGCUGGUCUGAGAGGACGACCAGCCACACUGGGACUGAGACACGGCCCAGACUCCUACGGGAGGCAGCAGUGGGGAAUUUUGGACAAUGGGGGCAACCCUGAUCCAGCCAUGCCGCGUGAGUGAAGAAGGCCUUCGGGUUGUAAAGCUCUUUCGGACAGAAAGAAAUCGCACGGGUUAAUACCUUGUGUGGAUGACGGUACUGUAAGAAGAAGCACCGGCUAACUACGUGCCAGCAGCCGCGGUAAUACGUAGGGUGCGAGCGUUAAUCGGAAUUACUGGGCGUAAAGCGUGCGCAGGCGGUUUUUUAAGACAGAUGUGAAAUCCCCGGGCUUAACCUGGGAACUGCAUUUGUGACUGGAAGACUAGAGUACGGCAGAGGGGGGUAGAAUUCCACGUGUAGCAGUGAAAUGCGUAGAGAUGUGGAGGA